UUUUUUUUUUUUUUUUCUUUUCCCCCCUAAGGGUGGUGACCAAAGCAAACUAGGAGAUUGACCGGGACAACAGUUAAAAGUAGAUGACGUUCAACUGUUGAGCGUUUUAAGGUCAUUGAACUACCCGACGGUGUCCUACGUUUACUGUGUCUCACGAAAUUCACCAAGACAGUUUUUGGCGAUUGCAUGAAUCUUCCAGUGUCAGAAGCCACAGCAAGAACCAGAACUUUUUUAUACAGCCAGCAACUAAUCAGAAGGGCGUUUCUGUUUCCGCCAGCUGUUGCACCAACUAAACUGUCUUGGUGAGAUGUGACUAGGAGAACAUCAUUAGACAGAACUCCACUGUCCUGUUUAAUGACCGUGACAAAGCGAUACACUGCUCUUCUAGCCAAGCUCCCAAGUAUAAAUUCCUUCUGUCCUGGCAGUUCAGUGGUUCCUUUUUAAAAGAAUACAGAAUUGGGGACCUGUUGACAUGAUGGCUCACCAGCUAGAAGGUUCUUGCUAACAAGGCAGAUAACCCACAUUGUGGGAAGAGGGAAUCACUCUGGCAUGUCGUCUUCUGACCACCCCUGGUGUCUCUACUGGGGAGUUUCUCACACUGAAGUUGGUAUGAAUCACCUAUGUAGCUUUGUGAAAAUGUGCAUGGUGAGUUUGGGGUCCAUUUACCAGAAUUCAUUUUGAACUACUUCCAGAUUUUACAUCAUUGGAAUAGCUAAACUCUGCACUGUAAGUCAAAUAUUGCCAUUAACAGUUUAAAUGGCAUGCCAUUUCACUUGGAGUGAAAUAUAAACUUGCCUUGCCUUAAAACAUU